UACGGAGGGUCCGAGCGUUAAUCGGAAUUACUGGGCGUAAAGCGUGCGCAGGCGGUUUGUUAAGCCAGAUGUGAAAUCCCCGGGCUCAACCUGGGAAUUGCAUUUGGAACUGGCGAACUAGAGUCUUGUAGAGGGGGGUAGAAUUCCAGGUGUAGCGGUGAAAUGCGUAGAUAUCUGGAGGAAUACCGGUGGCGAAGGCGGCCCCCUGGACAAAGACUGACGCUCAUGCACGAAAGCGUGGGGAGCAAACAGGAUUAGAUACCCUGGUAGUCCACGCCGUAAACGAUGUCUACUCGGAGUUUGGUGACUUAGUCACUGGGCUCCCAAGCUAACGCAUUAAGUAGACCGCCUGGGGAGUACGGCCGCAAGGUUAAAACUCAAAUGAAUUGACGGGGGCCCGCACAAGCGGUGGAGCAUGUGGUUUAAUUCGAUGCAACGCGAAGAACCUUACCUACUCUUGACAUCCACAGAAGAGACCAGAGAUGGACUUGUGCCUUCGGGAACUGUGAGACAGGUGCUGCAUGGCUGUCGUCAGCUCGUG
rnacentral:rRNA from 1 species